rnacentral:lncRNA from 1 species
UCAUAACUUUUUGUCUUUUUUCUUUGAGUUUCUCUUUUCUGCAUUACCUUCCUUUUUUGUAUUUUUUUUUAGACAGAGUCUCACUUAGUCACCCAGGCUAGAGUGUAGUAGUGCAAUCUUAACUCACUGCAGCCUCUGCCUCCCAAGUUCAAGUGAUUCUCAUGCCUCAGCCUCCCAAGUAGCUGGAAUUCUAGGCAUGCACCACCACCCUGACUGAUUUUUGUAUUUUUAGUAGAGAUGGGGUUUCACCAUGUUAGCCAGGCUGGUCCCGAACUCCUGGCCUCAAGUGAUCUGCCUACCUCAGCCUCCCACAGUGUUGGGAUUACAGGCAUGAGCCACCACACCCAGCCCCAUUGCCUUCCUUUCUUCCCUUCACUUACCUGAGUCCUUCCAGAUCCAAAUUCACUUCUGCUUUUCCACAAAUUCCUCUCAGAGAAUGCCUGCUAUCAAUGAGCUGCUUCUGUGGCUACCUAUGCCUUGGUCUUCAGGACUAACAGACCACACUUCCCUAUGCUCUGAAGGAUGGUCAGUGUUUAAGCUCCUCCUCCCCGCUGGACGGCUCAUCUCUUGGUGUCUCUACCUCCCCACAGUGCCUCACACAAGGGCCCAGAUGACUGUCCCUGACCGGGGCUUAUGGUUGCCUGAAGGCUCGAUUUCAAACCAAGGUCUCUGCUCACCUUGGAGCCUUCAAUGUCUCUGGCUGGGAGGAGAGGUGCUGACCAAGCAGCUGUUCAUCAUAACAAGGUGAUGAGACCUUGGCGACAUGUGAACUACUCAUUGACUAACAAGACGAUUAGAAAUUGGUAAGUUGUUACUUUUGAUUGCUCUUUUUUUUCCCUAGAGGAUAGUUUUUUGACUAAGGAUGAUUUUGUACCUUUGUUAUGGGCCGUUAUCCAAUGAAUGCUGCUCAUAUUCCAUGCAAGUAUUCCGGAAUCCAUAUCUCACACUUCACCCCAGGGGGCAGCCCUGACAAAUAUAUUUACGCCCUGACAUCUCUGAUCAAGGCCAAACAUCUUAAUUAAGCAAAAAGAUAAUUAGGAGAAAAUGUACACCAAGGCAUCGCCAACAAAUUGGUGAAUUCUCCAAAGCUGUGGACAUUAGGCAGCUACUGUCUGAAGUUUAACGCAAGUAGUCAUAGAUGUAGGUCCAUCCUCCACAUACAUUUGCUCAAUAUUAACUGUAUCCAGUACUGUGCUAGGCUCUACAGGAGAGUAGGGGAAAAAAAGGAAGUAUUGUCCCUGACCUUAAAAUUUGCUAAUGUAACUUCCUUUUGUUAAAGAAGAGUCUAAAAAAUAACCAUUUAUGGUCCCGUAGAUUCCCUGACACCUACUAUGUUUUUAGUAUUUUUUUGUUUGUUUCAUAAGAGUGAUAUGGCAUCAACAAACCCUAAUUAUUGUCUCUUUUAUCCAAAUUGGUCUCAUUAAGAUUCAUAGAGUCCUUUCCAGAAUAUAUUUUAUAUAUAAUGAAACAAGGAGAAAGAAUAUGUAAAGUGUGCAAAAUUCCUGGGAGAAAUCCCCCUCUGUCCACAUUAUUCUUACUUCCUACUUGGUGUUUAUAUGGGAGAAUAAAGAAAAUUCUGUGCCCCAAAUAGGGUAAAAGAGUUGGUGGCUGGUCCUUGCCACUGGCCUAUGGCUUUUGUCCAGAGAAGACAGGAAUUGGGACCCCUAGCCCCUUCAGAACAGUUGGUCUCUCAUGCCCAGGGAAUUUGGUUAUGGAGUGAGAACAGGAUUCUCCUAAAUAUUUCAACUUCAGAAGACCCAAUUGAAAGCAAUCUUAAUUAAAGGAGGACUGAGAGUGGUGCAAAUAUGAUUUGAACAUUGGUUAACUUUUCCUCAAAUGGGAAUGAAUAGGUGGUAAAAUCACUUUGAUGACUGUUAUACAGAGUCUCUGUCCCAGAGUCCUGAAACUUCACCUAAUGUCCAUAAAGAAAUCAGAGUAACUUCUCUGCCAGUAUGUGUUGGGUUGGGGUGGGCUGGGUGGGUGGGUGAAGAGUACUUUCAAAUGUUGUAGAUCCCAGUACAUUGCUCUGCAGGGCAUGUGUUUAAAUGAUGGGUAAUUGACCCCACAUCACUCCCAUCCUCAUGCCUCAUGGUUACCGUGUGUGUGUAUUGGGGAUUCUGCAUACAUUUUCAUCACAUAUUUAAUUUUCUGGCUUUAAAUAGUAUCUUUGCCUUUGUUUUAUGCUAACAGUGUUCAUGAAUAGUGAAUGUAGGAAAGCAUCAUUCUGUGUUUUAUUUUCACACUAUAUUUCAGUAUCAGGCUAUACUUUCAAGGUAUAACAAUUGUCACUGAGGCACAAAGUUUUAAUUAAGCUCACACAUGAUUAUUUUCCAGCAAACUGAGCCUAAUUGAUGAAAUUGCUAAUUGUACUUCCAGGUGCAGUUAUCAGCCAGUAGUGCAUCAUUAGUAUGCAAUAUGGCAUGGGCUGUUUCAUGGUGUGAUACCAGAUUAUAUGUUUAUUACAAACACAUAUUGUCCUUUAAUGACAUCAUUUGUUCAUUCCAAACAUAUUUAUUGAGCACUGACUCUGUGCCAGUUAUUAGAGUAAUAAUAACUGCUGUGGCAAAUGAGUUUCCUCACCUAAGAAAAAUCAAAGUUAAUUAUUGUUUUCUCCACAUAAAAGUAUAAAAUGUUAUUCUGCAAUGUGCCUUCCACGUGGUGAUUCAGGGAUCCAGGCUCCUUCCAUCUUGUGGCUCCCCCACCCACUAAGUUCCCAGACUCUUUCAUUUCCAACUGGUCGUUGAUGAAAGAGAGGGUGAUGAAGGCAUACCCCACUUAGAUCUUAACCACUUUUACCUAGAAGUAACACAUAUCACUUUUAUUGACUGCAACACACCUGGAGAAAGGGGGCUGGGAAAUGCUGUCCCUGGCUGUGAACUUACAGUAUCAUAUCCAUUUUAUGAGACUCUUUGGGGACUAGCUGGCUAUUUCUGCCACAGCUGGCCAUGUCUGCCAUGGCUAGAUACCAUUUCAGACUCUAGGGAAAUAGCAGUGAAGAAAAACAGACAAAAACAUAUGGUCUCAUCGAGCAUAAAUUAUUGAAUUAAAAUUCUUAAAUUCUUUAUGGGAUGAGACAGACUAUAACCAGGCUAAAUCAGUAUGUUGCAAAGCAGUGAGAGCUGAAGAGAAAAACUAAAGCAGGAAAAGUGGUAGAAAGCAUGAGAGAAGGGUUUGAGAUGAGACAAUGUGGUCAUAGAAAGCCUCUUGAAAGAAAUAAUACUUUGAGCAAAGAAGCAGAGAGCAUAAGGGAUCCAACCAGGUGAAUAUCUAUAGCAAAAACAUUUCAGAUAAAGGGAAUAGCAGGUAAAAGGAAUCUGAAGCUGGUGAAGAUAAUAGGAGUGAGGAUAAUGGAAGGUGAGAUCAGAGAAGUAAUGGUCAGGCCAGACUGUGUUGGGACAUUUAGGUCAUAGUAAACAUCUUGGCUUUUUUUUUUGGGAGGGGGUAACUUUAUUGAGCUAUGAUUUUCAUAAAAUAAAAUAUAUCCAUUUGAUAGGUUUUAAAAAAUGUAGACAUGUAGACAUCCAUGUAAUCGCCACCACAAUAAAAACAUAGAACAUUUUUAUUAUCCCCUAAUAGUAUCCCUACUUAUAGUUUAUCCCUGGCCCUAAGCAAUCACUGACAUGUCUUCUGUCAUCAGUAAUUAGUCAUUUUUUUCUAGGAUUUCAGAUAAAUGGAAAGGAACAGUAUAUACUCUUCUGUGUCUGUAUUCUGUCACUCAGCAUAAUGCUUUUGAAAUUCAUUCAUGCUGUUCUCAGUAUUGCUACUUUAUUUCUAUUUAUUGCCAUUACAUGGAUUCUAUUAUGUGGAUAUACCACAAUUUAUUUAAUCUUUCAACUACUGAGAGACAUUUGAGUUGUUGAUAAUUUGGGGCUUCUAUGAAUAAAUCUGCUAUGAUCAUAAUGUGAAAUUCUUCUUUUUUGUGGACAUACGUUUUUCAUUUUUCUUGCACCUAGUUGUGGAAUCGCUGCAAACCACAAGGUAAGUAUUGGUUUAACUUUAAAAAAAGUCACUGUUUUCCACUGCGGUCACAGCUUUUUACACCUCCACCAGCAAUGUAUGUGAGUUCCAGUUGUUCCAUAUCAUCACCAACCCUUGUUGUUGGCAGUCUUUUAGAUUUAAGUCAUACCAGUGGGUGGGUAGUAAUAUAUUAUUGUAGUCUUAGUUUGCAUUAAUCUAAAUGACCCUUAAUGUGGAACAUCAUUUCCUGUGCUUUUGAUCAUUUAUACAACUUAUUUUGUUGAGUGUUCAAAUCUUUUGCUUGUUAAAAUAAUUUUUUUUUGUCCUAUUGAGUUGAAAUAAUGUUAAAAAUAUUUUCUGGACAUAAGCCCCCUGUCAUAUAUAUGCCAUCCUUGAAUAUUUUCUCCUAGUCUGUGGCUCGCCUUUUCUCUUUCCUAAUAGUAUCUUUCAAAGAGUACAUGUUCUUGAUUUUGAUGAAGUAAAAUAUAUUUAAUUUUUUGCAG